CUCCCCACCACUGUGCUCAGUAAAGAGCAGCUACAUUGUGUGGCUGCUCCUCGAGUCUGAGCCAACAUCACCUGCAUUUUGGGUCCGGUGCCUUUGGGAGGAGUUAUCCCAAGGUCAUCGCGGGACCUUUCAGCUCAGUCUCGGUCACAUUUUCUCUUCUGAUUCUCGGUCAGAUUUCUUUUCUGAUUCUCCCCCCACACAGUGAGUGUUGUGUAGUCAAACCCUUCAUCCGUUUUAUCAGACAGGCAGAACUGGGAGUCUGAUAUCUUUUAAAAAAAGGUACAGCUCUCUGAUUAACUGAAGAGUAAUAGCAUGAAAUCCUAGUCUCCAAUAAGUAACAUAUUGAUGCUUAUGUCUAAUUUAAUCAGCAUCAGGGGGGACGGGGGUGCCCAUUCCUUCACCAUCAGUUAUGCAGCAGUUCAAGGUGAUAAAUCCUAUCUGUGGAAUGAUAUUCCGUCGACAUUUCUAUAAUAUUAAUUAGAUCACCGUGUCAGGCUGUAGGAAAUUUGCUUAACAUUCAUUAGAAAUUUCGUAUAGAUAGAUGAGCAUCCCUCCCUCCCUCUGCUCCCGCUUUCUUUCUCCUGUGAUUGACAGAGGAGGUCAAGCUGGAGACAGUCCCCCGCCCCUCAGAGUCUGGGGAGCCGGGUCACCGGACUCCAUCACGCGUGGAGCGGAGGGAGGGCUGUGCCUGGAAGAGAUAUCCUAUGAAAUGGGACAAAGGCUCAUCUGCCUCGGGCCCCGUUGUUGGCUCUCCCGGCCUGCAGCCAGCAUGCAGGACGCGGGCGAGCGCGCGCCGUGAAAGCCAUUUGCAUUACCCCGCAGUCAUUUUUAUACGUGGAGGUAAUGAAGUUGUCAGCGGAGCCCUGAGUGUGGCAGAGCCUGAUAUUCAAAUAGACCUGCCAGCGCUCCCCUCGGCUCCCCCCGUCCCCGCAGCUGAUCUACCGACUCCCUGGAUUACUGCUUCGCUGGCUCCCGGGCCCCUGCUGUGCUUGCACUCUUGCCCCCGUCAAGUGCUUUUGUUUCCGAGCUGGGGAGCACGCAGCUGUGGCUGCACCAUGCAUCUGAGCAUGGAGAGAGCGACAAGCAUCCCACCCACGGCAUGCCUCAUCUGUGCUGGGUUUGCAGGGAGAGCCCCCCAGAACACUGCACUAGUCCCAGGCUGGGAGCCUGGGUGGUUUGUUAUAGUCAAAAGGAGGAGGAGGGCUUCAGAUUUAGGUGGAUAUUCUAUGUGAGGUGGAGGUGACAGGUUCAUAUCUUGCGCAUGUGCUGUGCCCCUUUUGCUGAGCACUGCACAGCUGGGAGGGAUGCGGCAGCCAAGCAGUGUGUGGCUCGAGCUCACCGGUGGUGAGAGGGUGUUGGCAAAGGGCAACACAGACAUACCUCAUUCUCACAAAAGAAACCACAGGGUCAUAAAUAACAAGGCAGGUCAGACUGGCCUUCGGUAAUUUUUAAGUCGAUUUUGGAAAGAAGAAAAAUUCCCCGUGGCAAAGCUGCCUGGUAAGCAAAAGGCCUGAUUCAACCCCAUUAGCCUUGGAAACUAGUUUUUACUAAAUAUGGGACUAGGCUGUCAGCUGCUGUUCGUUGGCAUGAACCCGCUGAAGUCAAUGGAAUGACAGUGAUUUAUACCGGGCUGAAGACGGUAGGAUGGAUAUCUAAAAGAAGGGCUGUCUUUUUCUGCCUUCAGGAACUGGACCUGCUCGGGGUUGCAACACCGUAGGAGCAGAUGUUGGCUUUUUGACUUGAUGUGCAGAUGUCAUUAGAAGGAAGUAUGGGCACAAUUUCACUGCACAGGAUUCACUUCAGACAAUGAAAAGAAGAGUCAGCUGAAAUGACAAAGUAGCAGAAGUCUCUUUUCCACAUACUGAAAUGGCUGAAUAAGCUACACAGAGCAGAAAUGACUUUCCUGCCUGCGAUUUGCAGAGUCCCAGGACAGCAGCUCACACCUGGGGGCGACAGAGCUGUGGCAGUCUGUCAUCUUUGAGCUAUUUUCUCUAUGCACCGAGAAGGAGAGCGGUGAUGCUGCCUUCUGUCUAUGACAGGAAUUGUUUGAAUUAUUUACAAUGAACGGAAAGACAGCUGGGGGGAGAGGAUGGAGAGGCUGGUGCAAUUCUAUAGACAUUGAUCCUGCCGGGAAAAAGAGCAAACUGACUUGCAAUACAAAUGGCGGUGUUGCAAAUGUGAAAGGAAGACCAUUUUCCAAUGUCACUUUCACAAGCUAAAAGAAGUCUCCAUACGUAUUAUGCAUAAGUGAAUGCACAUAGGUGUCCCAGAAGUUCAAGAUGGUUCCUUGUUUUCUUCGUUUCCUACUUAGUUCUCUUUCCAAUGGAAGCUGUGCAGUGGACUUUGAUCUUUUGCAAGAUUUCUCUUCCUGAAGAAAGGUGCCGGUUUAUUACCAAACCGCUUGUAAGAACAGAUCAAAGGCAGAGGAAGAGUGGGGGCUGCAGUCUGGCCAGCUGCUGUGAUGUUCUACAGAAAAUCAAGGACGAUAUCCACAGGACCUGCGAUGUAUCAAGCCAGCUCUUAGUAACAGAGGAAGGCCAAGAGUAGUUGACAAUAAGACUGUAAAGAAACAGUUAUGCUGGUGACACUUCUUAUAUGAGGACUGCCUUCCUAUUUUUCCACAAACGUAUUCCUGUUAUACAGUUUUUUGUUCUUUUAAUUAAGCACUGCAGGAGAAAAUAAUGGGAUCUUAAAGCCUCAUGUAUUUUGGAAAAGGUAGUAGUAAAUUGUACAGUUUUGACCUUUUCAGCUUUUUGUAAUUUGAUUGGCUGUCUGUUCUUUUUCCUCCACUAUUUACAGCUGCAGUGAACUGUGCAGAAGGGGUAGGAUGGCUAGCCAGCUCAAAUGCAGAAUAUUUAAAAGGUUAAAAUGUGCAACAUACUGGUGCCUUCCACAGAGUGUAUGGGCAUUAUAAAUUUCGUUGCGUUGAUCACAUAAAGGAUUGAGAAA